rnacentral:rRNA from 1 species
AUGGGUCAAGCUCCGCUGCGGCGUGGGUCGACGGGAAGGGCAGGCUGGCCGCCGUUCCCUUUCCGACACCUUUUUCCCCAACCUCCGCGGGCAGCAUCCUCAACUUCGCCUUCCCCUUCGCCUUGGGUCAAGCUCCACGGCAAGGAGGAGGGGGAUGGUGCCGAGGGACGCGAUGGGGUCGUUCAACUAGGAACUGGAGUUCCACCUGAUGUUGUUUCUUGGAGUUACUGGAGUGUGUUCUUGAGCGUUUCUUGGUUUCUUCUCAAGCAGGUGGAAUCGUCGUACGCCAAGGACAUGCUCCCGAGAAAGGAAAAGGAGAAGAUGUGUGGAUUGCUGAAACUGGAUACAGAGGGUGCUUCCCUUCCAGGAUAUCGACCAAGCCUGGCAGCUAUGGAUCCGUUCGAGGACCAACUUUGGUUCAGAGCCAGGUUUUGGGCAUAUCGCAGCGCAAGCGGAGGCAGAUCUCAGUCAAUGCUACUCCGGUUGAUAAUGCCCUAA